GACGAACGCUGGCGGCAUGCCUAACACAUGCAAGUCGAACGGAGUUACUGAAGGAAAUCUUUCGGGAUGGAAAACAGGAAGCUUAGUGGCGGACGGGUGAGUAACGCGUGGGUAACGUGCCUUGUAGUGGGGAAUAACAGUGAGAAAUCACUGCUAAUACCGCAUAGACUCUACUAAUCGCAUGAUUAAAAGAGGAAAGAUGGCGAUCCGAAAGGAGCUAUCGCUAGAAGAGCGACCCGCGUCUGAUUAGCUAGUUGGUGAGGUAAAGGCUCACCAAGGCGACGAUCAGUAGCCGGCCUGAGAGGGUGAACGGUCACAUUGGGACUGAGACACGGCCCAA
rnacentral:rRNA from 1 species